GUCUAAACGGACAGCUAUAGACAGUGUGGGUUGAAAUUAGGAGAGGACUUGUAUAGGCUCUAGACAAGAAAUCUUCAGCUAUUACAAACUGUUUUUAGAUAUAAUCCAAUUAAAACAAAUGCAUAAUUAAAUGCAUGCUCUCAUUUGUGGUAUAAAACUCAGCAGUGCUUAUUAAUCCAUUUCAACAGUGGAGUUCCCGUUUUCCUACUGAAAUCUGCACUUUGUAAACGAGAGGGGGUGGGAGAGGAGGACAGUUCACACAAAGUUUUAAGUAAGCCAAGUUGCUUUAGGCGUCCUGAAUGUCCCUUUAAUAGCAGUGACAUUUUUUACAGGUUCACUUUCAAAUUCUAGAUAAAAGGCACAUGAACUUUUAUAUUUAACACUAAGCAACCCCUGCCAUCUAGUGGAAGGAAAUGGGAAUUACAGAACGAUUCAGACACUAGUUAUUGUGGUUGUGAUAGAAAGUAUGCAGAUUUGAAAAGCACAUGCAUUCCAAAUAGGCUAGAUUAGAAG